UUGCCUUCACACAGUGCGCUCUGA
rnacentral:misc_RNA from 1 species